CCGUUGCCGGCGACCGGCGCACGGGUGAGUAACACGUAUGCAACCUGCCCGUGGCAGGGGGAUAAGCGGGGGAAACCCCGUCUAAUACCGCGUAACGCGGCCUAGGGACAUCCCAAGGCCGCCAAAGGGAGCAAUCCCGGCCACGGAUGGGCAUGCGGCGCAUUAGCUAGUCGGCGGGGUAACGGCCCACCGAGGCGACGAUGCGUAGGGGUUCUGAGAGGAAGGCCCCCCACACUGGUACUGAGACACGGUCCAAACUCCUACGGAAGGCAGCAG
rnacentral:rRNA from 1 species